AGUUCGUUUAGUUUGGGUAUAAGAACUAACUUAUUUCAUAGAUAGAUACAAUUUAGGUAUAAAAGAAAAUUAGAGAAAUUUUGUAUUUGGAUGAAAAUUAGGUUGUUUCUAGAAAUAAAAAAAUAGCGUUUUGAUAGAUAAAUAUAAAAUAAGAAUAAAUAAUGGGUAGUUAUAAAUUAAAAAUAAUGAUAUUACCCCUCUCAUUAUAUUUGAAUUUUAAAUUUUUAAAAUUUUCGUUUAUAAUUUUAAAUUUAUAUUUUUAACUUUUUAAUUUUAAAAUUUGAAAAUUUAACCUUUUAAUUUUAUAAUUUUAUAAUUUUAAAUUUAAAAUUUUAAAAUAUCAAAAUUUGAAAUUUAAAUUUAUAAUUUGACAUUUAAAUUUAUAAUUUUUAAUUUUAUAAUUUGAAAUUUAAAUUUAUAAUUUAUAAAUUUAAAAUAUAAUUUAAAUUUAUAAUUUAUAAAUUUAAUUUAUAAUUUAAAUUUAUAAUUUAU
rnacentral:lncRNA from 1 species